UUGUGUUUCCCAAAGCUUAUGUGUUGAAGGCUUGGUCCAUAGGCCAGCCAUGUCCAGAGGUGUAGCUUUUGGAAGUUGAUUGGAUCAAAAGAGUUCUCAUUUUAUCACUGGAUGAAUCCACUGAUGGGCUCAUGAUUCAGUGACGUUGUUGUGCGGCAAUAAGAAUUUGGGACACAGGGCCUAGUUGAAGGGAAUGUGUCAUGGGGGUGUGCCCUUGGGAGUGAUAUCUUGUCCCUCAUGCCUUCCUCCUCCCGCCCCCAGCUUUAAUCUGCCAUGUUCUCUGCUUCAUCACAGCCCAGAAAUACGUGAAGCAAGUGACCAUGGACUGAGAACCCUGAAAUCACGAGUGAAAAUAAAACUUUUUCUCUUUUAAGUUGAUUUUUUCAGGUAUUUCAUCACAGAGAUGAAAAGCUAACACAGUGCCUAAUUCUUCUUGAUGAUUAGAAUUCAGAGAAAUAGCCUUCACCAGCUUUGGUGCCCUGGGCUGGCCCACAGUUCUGCUUCACCCAUGGUGUGCUGGUUACUGUUUAACAUCCAGCACCUGGCUGGGAGGAUGACCAAGCAGGCAGAGGCAUUUUCCAGUGUCUGAGGUCACAUCCCAGAUAUGAACAUUACUCAGAGGUUACUCAGGUGAUCCUCGGCCAUACUGAGAGUGCAGCUGUGCAGGACUUGACCUUGAAGGACAGAUGGCAUCAGGAGGAAUUCCUUUAUACCUUGUGCCGACCAGGGCCCCAUUUCUGUCUACAGACAAUAAAAGCCUUUCACUGUGAGCUGCUUUCUGAUGCGUGCUUAAAACCAAGCUGAACGCAUUAAAAGGGCAGAAAGGCAGAAAUCUGCUUACUGUGCCCUGUGGGGAAUUAAGUACAAUUUUGACGGGAAUGAAUGGAAGAAGAAAUAGAUUUUAAAAAAUAUUUAUACCUUCGCUUACAAAAAAUUGGAUACAAUAUUUAUUUCAUCUUAAUUUCUGAUUCAUUCCAAUAAAUAUGUGCUGUAUUUCCUUUAAAAGUAGAUCCUCUGAAUAAAAUGUUUUUUACAAAUUA